rnacentral:rRNA from 1 species
UUGGAGGGCAAGUCUGGUGCCAGCAGCCGCGGUAAUUCCAGCUCCAAUAGCGUAUAUUUAAGUUGUUGCAGUUAAAAAGCUCGUAGUUGAAUUUCGGGGUCAGUAGGUCGGUCGUGUCACUGGUAUGAACUGGUUUUACUGAUUCCUCCCUCUUGAAGAACUGUAAUGCCAUUAAUUUGGUGUUGCAGGGAAUCAGGACUGUUACUUUGAAAAAAUUAGAGUGUUUAAAGCAGGCUUUAGCUUGAAUACAUUAGCAUGGAAUAAUGAAGUAGGACGUUUGAUCCUAUUUUGUUGGUUUCUAGGAUUGACGUAAUGAUUAAUAGGGAUAGUUGGGGGCAUUAGUAUUCAAUUGUCAGAGGUGAAAUUCUUGGAUUUAUUGAAGACUAACUACUGCGAAAGCAUUUGCCAAGGAUGUUUUCAUUAAUCAAGAACGAAAGUUAGGGGAUCGAAGACGAUCAGAUACCGUCGUAGUCUUAACCAUAAACUAUGCCGACUAGGGAUCGGAUGAUGUUAAUUUUUUAAUGACUCAUUCGGCGCCUUACGGGAAAC